rnacentral:rRNA from 1 species
UACGAAGGGUGCAAGCGUUAAUCGGAAUUACUGGGCGUAAAGGGUGCGUAGGCGGUUAGUUAAGUCUGUUGUGAAAUCCCCGGGCUCAACCUGGGAAUGGCAAUGGAUACUGGCUGGCUAGAGUGUGUCAGAGGAUGGUGGAAUUCCAGGUGUAGCGGUGAAAUGCGUAGAUAUCUGGAGGAAUACCGGUGGCGAAGGCGGCAUCCUGGACCGAGAUUGACACUAAAGCGCGAAAGCCAGGGGAGCAAACGGG